AAUAAAGUUCUAGAUAGAAUUAUGAUAAUGACAUUUUCUAUCUAUGUGUCUUGACCAAAUCACGUGCCAGCAGUCGCGGUAAGACGUGGAAGACUAGUGUUAUUCAUCUUUAUUUGGUUUAAAGGGUACCUAGACUGCUAAUCAAGCCCCUAAAGGGUACUAAUUGGCUAGAGUUUUAUGUGAAAAGGGGUGUACUAAAGUGUGGAGAGAUGAAAUUCUGUGAUACCUUACUGGAACAGUCAACGGCGAAGGCGACCUUUUAUGUAAAAACUGACGUUGAAGGACGAAGGCUUAGGACACCAAUAGGAUUAGAUACCCUAGCAGUCUAAGCAGACAAUGAUGAAUGUCAUAGGCAAGAAUUAUAAUUUUGCCUAUAAAUGAAAGUGUAAGCAUUCCACCUCAAGAGUAACGCGGCAACGCCGGAACUGAAAUCAUUAGACCGUUUCUGAAACCAGUAGUGGAGUAUGUUGUUUAAUUUGAUCGUACGCAAAAAACCUUACCACAGUCUGAAUAGAUAUCUAAAUAUCAUACAAGCGCUGCACGGCUGUCUUCAGUUAAUGUCGUGAGAUUUUGGUUAGUUCCAUUAAAUUAACGUAAACCCUUACUUUAUUUUUUAUUAUGAAGUAGUUCACCGGCACAGCGGUCAUGAUAAAAGGGAUUAAGACAAGUCAAUAUGGCCUUAGCAUUGUGGGCUAUAGA
rnacentral:rRNA from 1 species